CAAUAAUAUUGAUAUUAUAUUAAUAUAUUAAUAUUGAUCAACUCAAUACAAUUGGAGCUCCAGGUGAGGCUGUGGCUCAGAGGUGGAGCAGCUCGUCUACCUGUUGGAAGGUUGGUGGUUGAACUCUGGAUUGGAAGCACUGCACUGGAUCAAUAUUUGAUCAGUUAUUGGAUCGUUAUUACAUUUUUUAAUGUAUUAAUCAGUGACUACAUUUGCACACUGUUAUUGUAAAUAUUGGCCAUUGAUCAGGCUGAUGUAAACAGUUUGGAUAUUCCUGAUCAGGUUGUAUGUAUCAGUAUUAAUUACCAGAUUAACACCUCCAGCACACCUGCUGCUAACGUUAGCUGCUAACACUGCUGCAACACUGCUUAGCUUAGCUCUAGAGUUUAUACACUGUUUAUUGAUUAUUGAUUGAAUCAGCUCCAUAUAGAACACAGCUCUAGAGUUAAUACACUGUUUAUUGAUUAUUGAUUGAAUCAGCUCCAUAUAGAACAUAAAUCUAGAGUUUAUACACUGUUUAUUGAUUAUUGAUUGAAUCAGCUCCAUAUAGAACAUAAAUCUAGAGUUUAUACACUGUUUAUUGAUUAUAGAUUGUUGAUUGCAGUUGACUGUUGAGGACGCUGAUCAACAUUUUAUUUGAUCACUAUAGUUGUUUUAUUGAUUUAUUAAAUAUCUUUAAAUAGAUCUAUCAGUUAAUGAUCGAUUACUUGUUGAUCUGUUUUUGUUUUUAUCUUUGGCUGCAACUUUGGACCCCCACCCCACCCCUCCCAAGUUGAUCUUUGUUGUGCUUAAUGACGUCCGGCGUCGGCCCCGCCCCCUCCUCUUCCUCAGCCUAUGGAGGAUUUAUUUGUUUUCUCCUCCUCCUCCUCCUCCUCCUCCUCCGCUGCGUCCAUUAUCACCGUGAAGAACCGCAGCGGGACACCGCGACAACAGGAGGCCGAGCGACAGGGCCGGACCGCCGGGGAGGAGCGGAAGAUGAGCACCGCCGCCGGGAUGGAGAGCCGACCGGAGCCGCCGCCGCUGAGUUACCCCGGAGGAGGCGACAUGACCGCGGAAUAAACAGGCGAGAGGACGCCGCUGCGCCUGUCGCGGCUCACAGUCAGGAUGUCUGGGCCGCCCGCUGGGACCGGGACCGGGACCGGAACCAGAACCGGGACCGGACCGGGGCUGCCGGAUCUGAGCCACCUGACGGAGGAGGAGCGGAGCAUCAUCCUGUCGGUGAUGGAGCGGCAGAAGAAGGAGGAGGAGAAGGAGCAGAGCAUGCUGAACUCGGUGAUCUGGCUUCUGAUUGGUCGAGGUGUGAGCGGUACAGUGCUACGUCUGGGCUUUUAUUGUGAAGGUAGAUCUUGUUGUUUGUCUGUAAACAAGCGAGGAGCAUUCAAUGUUUAUUUAUUGUUUAUUUGUGUACGGACAAGACUCUGUGAGACUCUCUGAGACUCUGAGACUCUCUGAGACUCUGUGGGACUCUGUGGGACUCUGUGGGACUCUCUGAGACUCUCUGAGACUCUAUGGGACUCUAUGGGACUCUGUGGGACUCUGUGAGACUGUGAGACUGUGAGACUGUGAGACUCUGUGAGACUGUGAGACUGUGUGAGACUCUGUGAGACUCUGUGAGACUCUCUGAGACUCUCUGAGACUCUCUGAGAAUGUGAGACUCUGAGACUCUCUGAGAGUGUGAGACUGUGAGACUGUGAGACUCUGUGAGACUGUGAGACUCUGUGAGACUCUCUGAGACUCUGUGAGACUGUGAGACUCUGUGAGACUGUGAGACUGUGUGAGACUCUGUGAGACUGUGAGACUCUCUGAGACUCUCUGAGAAUGUGAGACUGUGAGACUCUGUGAGACUGUGAGACUCUGUGAGACUGUGAGACUCUGUGAGACUGUGAGACUGUGAGACUCUCUGAGACUCUGUGAGACUGUGAGACUCUGUGAGACUGUGAGACUGUGAGAGAGGGCUAGAGAAUGAUGAUCAUUAUUAUCUCUGAUCAGUUAUUACUGAUACUGAUUAAUCAGCAAGUUUCUUAACUUUUCUUCAGUAUCAAAGGAAUCAGUGAUAGAUGGAGCUAACAAGAGCUAACAGCAGUUAACAAGAGCUAACAGCAGUUAACAGGAGCUAACGGGAGCUAACAGGAGCUAACAAGAGCUAACAGGAGCGAACUAGAGCUAACAGCAGCCAACAGGAGCUAACAGGAGCUAACUAUAGCUAACAGGAGCUAACAGCAGCUAACAGGAGCUAACAGGAGCUAACUAUAGCUAACAGGAGCUAACAGCAGCUAACAGGAGCUAACAGCUAAUUCAGCUACUGUCAGUGGAGAAUCUCUGAUGUUUGUGACGUCUUCCUCCAUUUUCUGUCUGAGCUGAUGAAAAUCAGCAGGAGGAGGAAGAGCAGCAGAAGCAGGAGAUCAUCAUCAUCAUUAUUAUCAUUAUUAUUAUCAUCAUUAUUAUUAUUAUAAUUAUUAUUAUUAUUAUUAUUAUUAUCAUCAUUAUUCAAUUCAAUUUUAUUUGUAUAGCGCCAAUUCAUAACAGAAGUUAUCUCAGGACACUUUUCAAAUAGAGCAGGUCUAGACCGAACUCUUUAUAACAUUAAUUACAGAGACCCAACAGUACCACCAUGAGCAAGCACUUGGAGACAAGGGCAAGGAAAAACUGCCUGUUAAAAGGGCAGAAACCUAGGACAGAUCCUUCGGCUCUAGGUGGGUGGUCGUCUGUCUCGACCAGUUGGGGUGAGAGAGGAGAGGAGAGAGAGAGAGAGAGAGAGAGACAGACAGACAGACAGACAGACAGACAGACAGGUGCACAGCAACAACAGUAUUGGUAAUGGCAAUCUAGCAGGACCAUG
rnacentral:lncRNA from 15 species